rnacentral:rRNA from 1 species
UACGGAGGAGGCAAGCGUUAUCCGGAAUUAUUGGGCGUAAAGCGUCCGCAGGUGGCUAUUCAAGUCUGCGGUCAAAGACUGGGGCUUAACCCUGGAAAGGCCGUGGAAACUGAAGAGCUAGAGUGCAGUAGGGGUAGAGGGAAUUCCCGGUGUAGCGGUGAAAUGCGUAGAGCUCGGGAAGAACAUCGGUGGCGAAAGCGCUCCGCUGGACUGCAACUGACACUCAGGGACGAAAGCUAGGGGAGCGAAUGGG